rnacentral:rRNA from 1 species
GGAGUGUUGUGGCUUCGGCGUUUUGCGAGAGAAUGGAGAGUGAGAGAGGCGUGGUGUGAGAGCAAGCCAGUAAGGGGAGGUGGUUUAGGGAUCGAGAGGAGAUACUACGCACAACAGCGGAGGGAGGGUGGCCGCAGCGGCGGAGGGAGGUCACUGCACGAAGCGGCGGAAGAGAGGGAGAGCGGGCACAGCGGAAAGGGAGGGGGGGCACGACGCAGAACGCACGAGGUUCCGGCUCCUCCUCGCGCCCGUGCCGCCGGAAUAGGAUGAGCUGUGGCCGACACUGUUUGCGGCCGCGAGGAGCAAUGGGAGAUAGACGUUUGUCCUCGAGGGCAUGACCUGCGAUGGCAGGGGGUGCCCGAUAGAUUCGGCCUCGGGGGGAGGUAGAGCUGCCGUGGGCUCUAACUCCGGCGUGGCCUUAGGGUUAGCGGAUGGUGCGAGAUGCGAGCUGCCGUUCUGGGUGUUCUAUUCUCAUCCCUACGCACAACGUCUCCCUUCUUGCUACACUAUACCUGUUACUACGUCGAGGACUUCUUCGCCAACGCCGCAGACGUGACUAAUCGACAUUCUGUCAAUGAGGUCGUGAAUGUCAUGACGCAGAGGAGUUAGAUCCAAAACGUCAUGUCAUCCCUACCUGAGACAUUGACUUUCCUCAUCGUGACUAACACAGCCCCGUUCCUCGCCCGCGCCGCUCGUCCUCGCCCGUUCCUCCACCACUCGUGGACCUCGACGUUCGUGGCCCGCUCCGCACUCAACGACCCGCUCCGUGCUCCACAACGGCUGCCGCUCCAAGUUUAAGUUUGACUAAACCCUCAACCUGUUACCAUGGGCAUUUUACCUCUCUUCAAGUACUAUAUCACACCUUUCGUUUAUAACGAGUGUGAUUGGAACGUUUACUUCAGUCUGGUCUUGACCUACUAACUACGUCCGCUUGUUUUAAUUCAAAACUCCAUGUGUAUAAACUCGUGGUACGGAACGGUUCGAAUUGUGAAAAAACUGACAUUCGAAAUGAAACACUAAGUACAGAACAUGAUAUACUGUCUACGCUUUGUAGUUCCUAUUGUUAUAUUUGUCAAACCCAGAUAUAUUCACAUACUUUCGUAGUAUAUGCAUUAAUCUUUCAGACCCGGUGUUUAGUUUUUCGUACUGUACAUGUAUGACAAGUAUGUUCAAAUCAGACCUUAUCGAGUUAAAAAAAAGAUUGUAAUCAGACUCUAGACAUGAUAAUUUCUCCCCUUAAAGGAGACUAAAUCAAUAAAAAAAACCCAUAAUGGCUGGGUAUGGUGCUAGAGUUAAAUAAAGAAUUGACUUAAUUGCUUGUAAAAAAUAUGAAUUAUUUUCAGUUUUACGUGUAUUAUUCACCUCAUUUCUUAUAAAUACUAGUCCCGAACAAAAUGGAAAAAAGAAGACACCAUGCAACGGGCAGCAAAUCGCAGAUAGAAUAGGGAAACAAGAACACUACCAUGUAUUAGCCUCGUAGAAGGAAAAGAAAAAAGAGGAAUAUUCGACGGGAAGAGGCGCACAAAUAUUACAGGGAAAAAAGAUAACUACUCCAGAACAAUACAAGAGGUAUUAGUACUUAACAUAGUCGUCAUGGAAUUUUGCAUAGACCGUACUUUUCAUACUUUUCAUAAUUAAUAUUUCGCUCUUCUUACAGAUCGUUUUCCGACUAAAAGUACUGGCAUGGGAGAAGGAAAAAGAAAGCUAUUCGUCGAGCGGAGGCCCGCAAAUAGUCGAGAGAGAAAAACAGCCACUUCGACAAAAACGCCAGUAAGUAGUGUUGAGUACAACAGAUCACGAGCCAACAACCAGAUCUGUGACUUGUAAGUGCUCGAUCUCGUAAUGCGGGCUGGACCAAAGGGUGUAGCUGUACCCUUCUAAGAUCUCGAUGACCUUGUUGUAUUAUCGGUAUUCGACUAAUUUAUAUACUUCUACUUGGGGGCAUUCCUGAUUAAUGAAGUGUAGUUUCUGCCUGCCCAUUAUGGUAAACUUGACAGAGCAUGUAACGACCGUAUCUUCUCACACUCUAAUGACCCUCGGCCGUUCCUUCGUGGUAAUACGUACUUACUCAAACGACCCAACAGACGUAGUACAUUUUUAUUGUUUUACUUUUUUUGGUGUUCCGUAGUAAUACAUGUUUCCUCUGACCUGGUGUGGACGGUCAAAUGACUUAGACAGGUUGUUAUCCUACAUUAUGUGUAUCAUAUUCUUAUGGACUGUAGCGUAACAUUCCAGCUAGUUGUAAACACUAUAGGGGCCCUCGCUCACACUCAAGUGACCCUCGGCAGUUGCUUCGUAGUGAAUUGGGUAGACUACACAACAACGGGGGGAGCAUCAGACAUUCCAUACUAUCUCUUAUAUGUUUUGGCUACUAAAAUAUGGUCUUCAUACAACUGCUAUAAACGUGUAUUAAUUUGGACCUGGGUAACUCAUUGAUAACAGUUCAAACAGUCGAUUCCCAUAUAAGAGACACAACAUAAGUAGUCGUAAACGAGGUUUCCUUACCGGACGUUGUGUAGUACAUAUGUGUGACACUCGUCCCGUACUACAAUCGGUACAACUGCUAUAAACGUAUCUUAAUUUGGACGUUUCUACCUCAUUGAUAGCAGUUCUAACAGUCGGUUCCCAUAUGAGAGACACAACAUAAGUAGUUGUAAACCGGGUAGGUGUACCGGACGUUAUGUAGUACAUAGGUUUUACACUCUUCCCGUACUAUAAUCGGUACCAUGUCGAUUUAGACUAUCGCCUUGUUGGACAUCCGUUUGGACGGCGGAAACAUAGAACUCAACCGAACGAAAAACUUAAAGGGUAUGCAUGGAUACUUAACGGUCUAGGUACUCUGAGGUUCUAGUAACGAACUAUAUACAUGAUGAAGUGACUAUGUUAAUACCAUGAUACUUAAAACAUCUGAAGUACUCCAACUCGUACCUAGUUCACCUGUUUACAGUCUACUUCAUUGCUUAUGACGUCAUUAACGGUUCUCCGGUGGAGGUCUAUUAAUAGGGUUCCAAAAUCUUAUACGCUGGAUUAAGGAACUGUAGUUUCUUUCGUCUAUGUACUUUAAGUCAGCUUCGUACUUUUUAUGAUAUAUCCUACAUCUCGCUUUCCAAAAAUAAGUAGAACCUCAAACAGAAACGAAAAAGUCCUACGUACUUUUUAUAAUUUCCUACAUAUCCCUUUCCGAUAAAAAGUAGAACCUCAAACAGAAACUAAAAAGUCCUACGUACUUUUUUUUAUUUCCUACAUAUCACUUUCCGAAAAAAAGUAGAACCUCAAACAGAAACGAAAAGGUCCUACUACUGUGCUUGCGGGUGUACCUUGAUUAUAUACCUAGUCGUUAGUUAGUUCAACGCUUGUUCCAGUACCGCUGGACUUGGCUGUACUUGUUCCAGUAGCGGCCGCUCGUGGGGCAGCUCCCGAUGGCGAUGGCGUUGUGUAAGCGUUUGGACCUCUCAACACCACCGGAGGUUGCCUACAUGCAUGGUACUUACAUUCGGCAAUUACACAUCGUGUAGAGGUUAAUGGCCUCAGGUUUGCCUAUGAGAGGAAAGAUAGGGAAAGAGAGAUGACAAGCUCUCUCCGCUGGUGCUCUCGCUGAGCCCGGGCCGGGCUAGGACCUAGAAACGGCGGCCGCUGCGGCCAGCCCUUCCUCUACCCUCUCCACGCACCACGAGACAACAUUUAUCAUCCGGAUCAGAUCCACAAAGGAAACACCUCAAACCGGAACACGGCCACAAACCGCAGUACGGCUACCUCGCGUUGGGUGGCGGCGAACGCGCGUCGCGGACCACCAGCGGCCACUGUAGAAGACGAGAAGAGGGUACCACCACCGCUUCCCCUCUACUACAAAGACCACGAUCGAGAGAUUUAUUCGCGCACCAGAAGCACGGGACCUAGACCUCUUUCCGGUCGGCUAAGAGGGCCAAAGAAGUUCGGCAACGCCACUACCUCGCCCUCGAACCCUCCUCGCCAGUAGACUUCUACAGUCAAGCCCAAGCUCGAGUUGUCGUCAUCGAUAACGCCACCCCCGCGACCGCGGACGACACCGCCAGCUACCGGCCAGCAGCGGCAGUAAGACGACGAAGAAGACCGGCUUCCCGCCGGUAGGGGUAAGGAGGGCCGGAACAUCGGUAAACCCUCCGUCUAGAAGCAAGGCCGCCAGCGGUACCGACCAACGAUACCGAGGGAGCAGCGGGGUUCACCAGUGCAGGGGCCGCUGCCGCUCCACAUAGGCGACUCUUGCUACACCUGGACUAGCGCAAAAAGUAGAAAUCCAACUCCAGGAAGAACGUUUUCAGGACCCUGAACAAGCAGCAAACAACAAAGAAGUCC